AGAAGAGAGAAAGCAGAUUAAUAAAUUCACUGGAUAUGUAUUUUCAAGAUUGAGAGCAUAUGCCGGCGGGGAACCUCUGCAGAAAGACGAGAAGGAGAAGGAAAUUAAAGCAUCAUAUGUUAAAAUAUCAGGCCAAAAAACAAGCUAUGACUGCGCUAUCUACGUUAUGAAGUGGCUUGAGUUAAUUGAGCC